UACGUAGGUGACCAGCGUUGUCCGGAUUUACUGGGUGUAAAGAGCGCGCAGGCGGUCGUUCAAGUCGAGUGUGAAAGCCCCCGGCUCAACUGGGGAGGGUCACUCGAUACUGAUCGACUUGAAGGCAGGAGAGGGAAGCGGAAUUCCCGGUGUAGUGGUGAAAUGCGUAGAUAUCGGGAGGAACACCAGUGGCGAAGGCGACUACCUGGCCUGUUCUUGACGCUGAGGCGCGAAAGCUAGGGGAGCAAACGGG
rnacentral:rRNA from 1 species